GACGAACGCUGGCGGCGUGCUUAACACAUGCAAGUCGAACGGAAAGGCCCUGCUUUUGUGGGGUGCUCGAGUGGCGAACGGGUGAGUAACACGUGAGUAACCUGCCCUUGACUUUGGGAUAACUUCAGGAAACUGGGGCUAAUACCGGAUAGUAGCUCCUGCUGCAUGGUGGGGGUUGGAAAGUUUCGGCGGUUGGGGAUGGACUCGCGGCUUAUCAGCUUGUUGGUGGGGUAGUGGCUUACCAAGGCUUUGACGGGUAGCCGGCCUGAGAGGGUGACCGGCCACAUUGGGACUGAGAUACGGCCCAGACUCCUACGGGAGGCAGCAGUGGGGAAUAUUGCACAAUGGGCGGAAGCCUGAUGCAGCAACGCCGCGUGCGGGAUGACGGCCUUCGGGUUGUAAACCGCUUUCGCCUGUGACGAAGCGUGAGUGACGGUAAUGUGUAAAGAAGCACCGGCUAACUACGUG
rnacentral:rRNA from 1 species